AGGUUGGGCACUCUAGCGAGACUGCGUAAUAACGGAGGAGUGGGAUGACGUCAAAUCAUCAUGCCCCUUAUGACCUGGGCUACACACGUGCUACAAUGGUUGGUACAACGAGUUGCGAGUCGGUGACGGCGAGCUAAUCUCUUAAAGCCAAUCUCAGUUCGGAUUGUAGGCUGCAACUCGCCUACAUGAAGUCGGAAUCGCUAGUAAUCGCGGAUCAGCACGCCGCGGCGAAUACGUUCCCGGGCCUU
rnacentral:rRNA from 1 species